GCCCCGGUAGCUUAGUUGGUUAGAGCGCCGUACUUAUAAUGCGGAGGUCGAGAGUUCGAGCCUCUCCCCCGGGGCA
rnacentral:tRNA from 1 species